GAUGAACGCUGGCGGCGUGCCUAAUACAUACAAGUCGAGCGAACAGACGAGGAGCUUGCUCCUCUGACGUUAGCGGCGGACGGGUGAGUAACACGUGGAUAACCUACCUAUAAGACUGGGAUAACUUCGGGAAACCGGAGCUAAUACCGGAUAAUAUAUUGAACCGCAUGGUUCAAUAGUGAAAGUCGGUUUUGCUGUCACUUAUAGAUGGAUCCGCGCCGCAUUAGCUAGUUGGUAAGGUAACGGCUUACCAAGGCAACGAUGCGUAGCCGACCUGAGAGGGUGAUCGGCCACACUGGAACUGAGACACGGUCCAGACUCCUACGGGAGGCAGCAGUAGGGAAUCUUCCGCAAUGGGCGAAAGCCUGACGGAGCAACGCCGCGUGAGUGAUGAAGGUCUUCGGAUCGUAAAACUCUGUUAUUAGGGAAGAACAAAUGUGUAAGUAACUAUGCACGUCUUGACGGUACCUAAUCAGAAAGCCACGGCUAACUACGUG
rnacentral:rRNA from 1 species